GGAUGUGAGGGCAGUAUGCCUGUGGCAUCUGUCACCCCAUUGUUCUCCAGGGUUGAAUGCUUAUCUGGCAAAGGCAGGUGUCACCUUCCUCCAUCACCACCCCAUGGGCACCCCUCCUGUAUCUUUGUGUAAGAGGUUAGCCUUCACCAGUGGAGAACUAAUCUUCUUGA
rnacentral:snRNA from 1 species